CCUACGGGAGGCAGCAGUAGGGAAUCUUCCACAAUGGCCGAAAGCCUGAUGGAGCAACGCCGCGUGGGUGAAGAAGGUCUUCGGAUCGUAAAACCCUUUUGUUAGAGAAGAAAGUGCGUGAGAGUAUCUGUUCACGUUUCGACGGUAUCUAACCAGAACGCCACGGCUCAAUACGUGCCAGCAGCCGCGGUAAUACGUAGGUGGCAAGCGUUAUCCGGAUUUAUUGGGCGUAAAGGGAACGCAGGCGGUCUUUUAAGUCUGAUGUGAAAGCCUUCGGCUUAACCGGAGUAGUGCAUUGGAAACUGGGAGACGUGAGUGCAGAAGAGGAGAGUGGAACUCGAUGUGUAGCGGUGAAAUGCGUAGAUAUAUGGAAGAACACCAGUGGCGAAAGCAGCUCUCUGGUCUGUAACUGACGCUGAGGUUCGAAAGCGUGGGAAGCAAACAGGAUUAGAUACCCGUGUAGUC
rnacentral:rRNA from 1 species